UGACUCAGGCUCAAAGUACAUAUUACGUGGAGUUCCAUGAUUCUUUUCUCUGCUUCCCUCUCCUCCACCCACCCAAACCAACCUGGGCCAUCUGAGAGUUUGGAGUGAACAUAUGCUGAAAGAGACUGCUAAGCUCUAUCCCUUCUAACCGGGCGAAGAGGCAACCUUUUAGGGAUUCCAUCGUAGCAGUGAUAGGAUAGAUGAAUGCCCACUAUCAAGGCAAACAGUCCUGCCUGGGAGAGAAAGACAAGAUGGAAACGUUUGGUGUUCUCCACAUGGAGAGUUAGCUAAAUUCCUAACAAACUUCUGUGAAGAAAAGCUGUAACUUCCAGGAUGAUGUCCCUGAAAAGAACUUGUCUGAACGCUUGUAUGAACUUGCCACCAGUGGUCAGGUAUCAACAGAUGAGAAAGAAGAGAAGCUUCCGUUCAAGGAAGGCUGUCAUGACGAGAUCUAAUCUGAAUUUGCCAUCACUCACAUAUCAGAAAAUAGACAGUUGUGAUACAGAGAAUGACAUAAACCAGAUGUUCACAAAGCUCUCUGCGCUUCACUGCCAUUUGUAUGAUCCCCUGAAGGAGGUGCUGCUUUGGUGUGCGUGUGAAGAUAAUGAAAAAGAUUAUAAAUUCUCCUGCUUUGACCCAUUUACAACGAAGAAGCAGCUACCCAGGGAGGUUUGUUGCUCGCCACAGCCAGACCAUGUACCCCUAACGAAAAGAAUUUUGUCCAACAAGUUUGCCAAUGAACAGAAAAGCUUUGAUGUAUACAGACAGGAUGCUCCAUUGGCAACUAUAAUUGCAAGCUCUACAAGAGGUGAAAGACCUGCAAGAGAAUGGAACUGGAAGCUGUUCCAAGCCCGUGGAAUAAGAAGAGAGAAUUGAAGUUUAAUCCUGCUAAGGGAAAAGAGAAAAACAAUGUAAAUCCAAGACAUUUCCAUUUUCAAAAAGUAGGUUCCUUCCAUUGUAUGGCUUAUGUAUGUGGCCUCAAUGAUCAUUCUCCAUCACUCCUACUUUCUCAGGAACAUUUAUAUAUGGGAAACUACAGUACAUGUUCCAGCUCAUCAGGCCACUAACAACAUUCCUCAUGUUUUAAUCCAUCCAUCCUUCAACUUGUGUGCAUGCAAGGAACUCCAAUAGAACACAACAUUGCAAUUAGGUUUUCCUGUUUGAGUUUUCUCAGAAUGUUUGCCUACAGCAUUUGAGAACGAUGGACACCAAACAGCAUGUCAACCCAGUAUGACCAGCAAUCAGUUAUGCAACAGCUUGUAAAAUUUGGUGACAUUGAAUCAGUGACCCCUUUUGGAAGACAAACAAUCAUUGUCGUAUUCAAAGAGAUCUGCUCUGCAUGUAAAGCAGUGAGUGCUUUCCCACCUCAUGGCCCAGAAAGAGGCAUGCGAUGUUACUGGCAUCACAGAUUCAUGUCCACAUUCAAAAAACCAAAAUUGCCAAAGAGAAAAUACACUUUAACACACAAACAUUAAUUUCUUCAACAACUAUGUUAUCAAUAAAUGGCUGACCCUUGUCAGUAUUAAGGCACAAUCUGGAUACAUACAGAAAGUAUUACUUUAAUGACAUCUAUUCAUGUAAGGGAAUGGAAACCAGUUUUACAGACAUUUAAUUUGCACAUUUGGCUAGAGGUCAGAGUUUUGACUUCCUCUGAAUAAAGCUUAGUACAGCAUUCAUGACUUCA